GAGCCGCGCUCCCUCUGCCGCCGCCGCCGCCGUGCUGCGGGCGGGGCGGAGGGAGGGAAGGGAAGGGAAAAGGAGGAGGAAAUGCGCUUGUCACUUCCUGAGCGGGGCCGGCGGAGGCAGGGCCCGGCCCGCACCUGCGGAGCACGGCGGAGAAACCGCGCACCCCCCCCCCCCCCCCCUCCGCCUUCCCCGCCGCGGGCACCGGCGGGGAGCCGCGCACCGGAGGUGUCGGUGCGAGCAUUUCUUUGGGGAAGAGGCGUUUGACAGAACACGAGCUCAGCAAAAUACUGGCAGGCUGAAGGUGGCCGUGGGUCCUCUGCAGUAUUCAAAGACACGUCUGCUUGGCUUCACUUGGGAGACGGCCUUUAGAAGCAAUCUGCUCUAACAAUAACGUUUUCCAUCCAUCCAAGCCGAACUGCGCGCAGCACGUAGGCUUCUUCCAAAAGCGAGCGUAAUUAGCGAACAAGGAAACUACAUGACAGCUAAAAGGAAGAUUUAGAACUCCUUACAAAACAGAGCCUAAACAUUAAUCUUGAACAUAUGCGAGCAGACAACACAGAUGUCAUCAGGAAUGAAUCCGGGGCUAAAUUUCAUCCACCCAGCUGGAUGGCCGGGCACACUGCUGGCGAUGGCAAGUAGGAACGAGUAAGGGCAUGUGUGCGCUGAACGGCGAGGGAGGCUUUAGGUGUGUAACUCAGCAGUGCUUCGGAUGUCCUGCCCCGCUGGUGCAUGGCCCAAGAUGCCAAAUAAAUGUCGAGGAAGACCGUCGGUAUUUAAUGUAAUAAAGAAGAAAGGAGGUAAGUAAGCGGAAGAAGUGGGAGAAGAUUUAACAACGGAGCCGCUCCUGCCAACGUAGCGAGGACAGAUCUCAACAAAAGUGGCUCCGUACUUGCUACAUAUAAAAUUAGGCAGGAGGGGCCGGUAUGAGUGGACUAGGAACAGGAAAAAGGGCUUGAUGAUGUGAAGGGGCUUUUGCAUCAGGCUCCUCCAUCCCACUCAGUGUUUGCUUUUCUUAUCACGUACUGAGACUGGCAGCGAUAAAACACUUGCAAACUCCUUUUCCAGAACUUUGGGAAUCAAGUUUGAAAAUGUUUUCUUAUGGUUUCCCAGCUGAAUAUUUCAGUAAUAAAGCUUGCAGUGUAAUUGAAUCCAUUCCUGUGGCAGCCUUGCACAGUGCAGUCUUGGUCUCCAAGAACCAAGCAGAAGGUUGCUUUCUGUCUGCGUCUGCAGCUCGGUCCAAACCGAGCAUUUUCUACCUCUCAUCCUCCGUGCUUUCCGACAGAUGAGCUGGCUGUGGAGCAUUAUCAGCCUGCGUGAAAGCCUGCUGCCAAAGCAUAAACCUGUUUUCCACAGAUAGUAUUUUCAGUAACGUUGUUUAAAUGUAAAGACUGGUCAUGGGUCCCUGCUCUGGUGACAGUGCAGAAGAUCUCUGUCAGAAGGGGAAAAGACAGAAAUCAUUUUCAAGCUUUAAAGAACUGGGCAUGAGAGUUUAGUCAUCACGGACAGAAAAUUCAGUCAGUUACAUUCUGAGCUGAUUUAAUUUGUGUUUUUGUCUCAGAUGUCAGCGCCUUUGCUACCCACUGACUAGGAGCCUUCCUUGUGGAGACGGAAACUCUGUGGGUAGGAAAGAAGCUAAUGAUCCCCAUGGUCCUUCUGAAAUUAUACUGGGGUCCAAGUCAUUAAAACAUUUAGAUGUGACAGUGCUAAGCCCUACAGAUAGACACAAUUUCCUUCACUUCCAGUGCACAGGAGUUGGCUGCAGUUACAGCCUGCUUUCUGUGCAGCCUUUCCAACGCUUCGCUCUCUACUCCAGUUCGUUGUUAUUCCAGUCAUAUGCACCACGGUUGCUAACAAUUUCAGAAGCGUCCUUUUCACGAUGACCUACAACUCUGCGCUGUUCUGAGCACCUGAGCAAUCCCAGUUAUUUACGGUUUUAUCCUUCUGCUUCUCCUGCCAGGCAAGGAACACAGGUAAGAGACUCGCCCGAAGCCAAGCAGAGAGUCCAAGUGUCCCCGUCGCAGGCUGAUGUCCCAGCCGCCCGGCUGUGCCGGGUACCGCGUACUCACAAGGACAUCUUUGGCUCCACCGAAGGUCUCCAACAGCACAGAAUGGAGACCAGUUUCAGAAGCCGCACUCCAGUUUCAGGGGAAAUCCUGAAAUUCACAGAAUCUAAAUAACAGGGAGCAGAAGUAUUUUUAACAAAUGUUUCAUACCCAGGGAACAAGCACAUCUCUGUAAUACGAUCAAUGUGUUCUAGGUCAGAGAGUAUCUGAAUCAAGGAGACCUGAUACUCAAAACAAGUGAAGCGUUGCUGUGCAGAGAGGGUUGUAAUGAGGAGUGUAGUUCUUACUACGUUUGGCAUACGAUAAACCUAAAAAUCCUUCUUGUAUUUCACAGGUUAUUUGCUACACACAUGCAACAGCUUUGUGUUUCGGCUUCCCGCUUCACUUGCUGCCUCCCUCCCUGCCUUGGCAAUGGGCACGACUGCUGAGCUACGGGCUGCCCCAGACUAGGCGCAAUGGAAACAGUUGACGGAUAAAAUAAAUAGACCAUGAAAUACGUAUGCGAAACCUCCUCUCGCUUGACUGCGCUAAUCACUUUGUCAGCCAUGUUUGUGUCUGAAUCGGGUUAAGAUAAGCCAAGAGUUAGUUGUCCAUCAUUCACAAGAACCAAGGCAGCUGUGGACAUGCCCAAAAGCAGCACGCUACGUUGGAUAAGCAGAAAUGCAGUACCCAUGGAGUUGAGGCACCCUAGGGUAGGGCAGCAGUCAGUGAGGCUAAUUACUCCUGCAAAUUGGGGUGAAAGAGCCUAGAUCCUUCUGCUGGAAACACCAACUUGUGUUUUAGGGGAAGCAUUAGAGAAAAUCUAACUGACAAACCUUCAGCCUGCCUUUUCUUGGUUGGUGUUUCAGGCUGGAUGCAGGCUUAUCACACCAUGCGUGCACAUCUCUGUGCUGCUAAUGAGAGGUUUCAGUUCACAACCCUAUCAGCAUUUCAAAUUACUCAAUAAACGCACAUUCUUCCCA